GACGUAGGGCGCGAGCGUUGUCCGGAUUUAUUGGGCGUAAAGAGCUCGUAGGCGGCUUGUCGCGUCGACUGUGAAAUCCCGCGGCUCAACUGCGGGUCUGCAGUCGAUACGGGCAGGCUAGAGUUCGGUAGGGGAGACUGGAAUUCCUGGUGUAGCGGUGAAAUGCGCAGACUAUCAGGAGGAACACCGGUGGCGAAGGCGGGUCUCUGGGCAAUUCCUGACGCUGAGGCGCGAAAGCCGUGGGGAGCAAACGGG
rnacentral:rRNA from 1 species